rnacentral:rRNA from 1 species
AGAGUUUGAUCCUGGCUCAGAACGAACGCUGGCGGCGUGGAUAAGACAUGCAAGUCGAACGAGAGAAUUGCUAGCUUGCUAAUAAUUCUCUAGUGGCGCACGGGUGAGUAACACGUGAGUAACCUGCCCCCGAGAGCGGGAUAGCCCUGGGAAACUGGGAUUAAUACCGCAUAGUAUCGAAAGAUUAAAGCAGCAAUGCGCUUGGGGAUGGGCUCGCGGCCUAUUAGUUAGUUGGUGAGGUAACGGCUCACCAAGGCGAUGACGGGUAGCCGGUCUGAGAGGAUGUCCGGCCACACUGGAACUGAGACACGGUCCAGACACCUACGGGUGGCAGCAGUCGAGAAUCAUUCACAAUGGGGGAAACCCUGAUGGUGUGACGCCGCGUGGGGGAAUGAAGGUCUUCGGAUUGUAAACCCCUGUCAUGUGGGAGCAAAUUAAAAAGAUAGUACCACAAGAGGAAGAGACGGCUAACUCUGUGCCAGCAGCCGCGGUAAUACAGAGGUCUCAAGCGUUGUUCGGAAUCACUGGGCGUAAAGCGUGCGUAGGCUGUUUCGUAAGUCGUGUGUGAAAGGCGCGGGCUCAACCCGCGGACGGCACAUGAUACUGCGAGACUAGAGUAAUGGAGGGGGAACCGGAAUUCUCGGUGUAGCAGUGAAAUGCGUAGAUAUCGAGAGGAACACUCGUGGCGAAGGCGGGUUCCUGGACAUUAACUGACACUGAGGCACGAAGGCCAGGGGAGCGAAAGGGAUUAGAUACCCCUGUAGUCCUGGCAGUAAACGGUGCACGCUUGGUGUGCGGGGAAUCGACCCCCUGCGUGCCGGAGCUAACGCGUUAAGCGUGCCG